UUAUCUCUACCGAAUUCUUCAUUGUCUUCUUGCUAUGUGGACCUCUCCUUUGAAAAUUAUGUGCCUUAUCUUUUGAGUUUGUCUGCCACUUGUGUCAAUUAGUGGGUAAGUGGUCACAAUAAUGGAGACUUUCUCAUAUUAUUUCUUGUCUCUAGUAGCCACAGUUUUUCUUUAAUAAAUUUCUUUAUUAAAGUAGUGAUAAAGGGCUACUUCAAUCACCAUUAUUUCUCCAUUUU
rnacentral:lncRNA from 1 species